GUUAUUUUGGCAGAUUAGUGCAAUAGAUUUAGGAUCUUUAUAUGUGUUUUACACAAAUAAUA
rnacentral:tRNA from 1 species